UCUAUCUCCGGGUUUAUGGGCAAGAUGCAUGAUGUUCCCCCAGCAAUAUAUUUUUUUCUAUCACUGAGUCUCUCUACAGGUCCUUGCCUCUCUCUCUCUCUCUCUCUCUCUCACUCUCUCUCCUCUCCCUGCCAACACUCUCCUUCUACGGUACGUCAGAAUGCGACCUUCCGCUCGAGUCUUGCCAAACGAGGAGCGCUCAUCAGCCAUGCAAAUGAGCGUGCAUCCAUUAGCACUGACAGAUGGCCUGCUGGAGCGCUGCUGAUGGAGGAGAGGAGAGCAGAAGAGACGAGAGGGACCGUUUCUCACCCG
ensembl:lncRNA